rnacentral:rRNA from 1 species
AUUAGAUAAAAAACCAAUGCCCUUCGGGGCUUUCUGGUGAUUCAUAAUAACUAAACGAAUCGCAUGGCCUUGAGCCGGCGAUGGUUCAUUCAAAUUUCUGCCCUAUCAACUUUCGAUUGUAGGAUAGAGGCCUACAAUGGUUUCAACGGGUAACGGAGAAUUAGGGUUCGGUUCCGGAGAGGGAGCCUGAGAAACGGCUACCACAUCCAAGGAAGGCAGCAGGCGCGCAAAUUACCCAAUCCCGACACGGGGAGGUAGUGACAAUAAAUACUGAUACAGGGCUCUUUUGGGUCUUGUAAUUGGAAUGAGUACAAUUUAAAUCCCUUAACGAGGAACAAUUGGAGGGCAAGUCUGGUGCCAGCAGCCGCGUAAUUCCAGCUCCAAUAGCGUAUAUUAAAGUUGUUGCAGUUAAAAAGCUCGUAGUUGAACCUUGGGUCUGGCUGGCCGGUCCGCCUCACCGCGUGCACUGGUCCGGCCGGACCUUUCCUCUUGGGGAUCCGCAUGCCCUUUACUGGG